rnacentral:rRNA from 1 species
GGACGAACGCUGGCGGCGUGCUUAACACAUGCAAGUCGAACGGUAAGGCCCUUCGGGGUACACGAGUGGCGAACGGGUGAGUAACGCGUGAGUAACCUGCCCUUCACUCUGGGAUAACAGUUGGAAACGGCUGCUAAUACCGGAUAUUCAGCUCCUGUCGCAUGGUGGGGGUUGGAAAGUUUUGGUGGUGGAGGAUGGGCUCGCGUCCUAUCAGCUUGUUGGUGGGGUGAUGGCCUACCAAGGCGUCGACGGGUAGCCGGCCUGAGAGGGCGACCGGCCACAUUGGGACUGAGAUACGGCCCAAACUCCUACGGGAGGCAGCAGUGGGGAAUAUUGCACAAUGGGCGGAAGCCUGAUGCAGCAACGCCGCGUGCGGGAUGACGGCCUUCGGGUUGUAAACCGCUUUCAGCAGGGACGAAGCGCAAGUGACGGUACCUGCAGAAGAAGCACCGGCUAACUACGUG